GCGCCGGUGGUACAACGGCUCAGCGCAUGCUCCCGGAAGGAGUAAGAUCUGGGUUCCAAUCCCGGCUGACGCG